CGCGGGCAUCGGCGGGCCGGCCGCGCUGCCCGCGGGGCUGCAUGGCACUGCGCCCCGCGCGGGAGGAGCGCGCUCCCUCCCCCCCCGCGGCGUCCCUGUCUCUCCGCCCGCCCUCGCCGGGAGCGGGGGCCGGGGCCGCGGCGGGCAUGGCCGCCCGCGCGGGGCGCUCCGCCGCCUGACUCCGGGCCGGGCGCCCUCCCGCUGAGCACCGCGGCCCCCGGCGGCAUGGCAGUGGCAGUGGCGGCGGCAGGCGGCGGCGCGGCCGCGGCGCAGCCGUAGCGCGGCGGAGCGGCGCAGGACAGACCCCGCGAGGCGGCGGGGCCGCCGGCCGGCACCAUGCGCCGGUCCAGCACCGACGAGUCCACGUACCGCCGGAGCCCGUCCCUGGACAGCAAGGAGUACAGCCCGCCCCGCGGCGCCUUCCGCCGCUACAGCAGCAUGUACGGCGGCCAGUUCGGGGCCGCCAGCAACUCUUUUUUCGGCUUCCACACCAACCCGGGCCCCAAGGCCACCAAGGCUAAGUACACGUCCCCCAAGGGAAACAAGUACGUUGUCUUUUACCUGGAUCUCUCGUUUAUUUUUCUCCUAGAGCUGAAGCGGUGCAGCAUGGCUCACAACUGCCUGCAGUGCAUCAAGUACCUAAUGUUUGUCUUCAACCUUCUCUUCUGGUUGGGAGGCUGUGGAAUCCUUGGAGUAGGCAUCUGGCUGGCUGUUACCCAAGGCAACUUUGCUACCCUCUCCUCUUCUUUCCCAUCCCUGUCGGCUGCCAACCUACUGAUCGUCACGGGGACUUUCGUCAUGAUCAUCGGCUUCGUGGGCUGCAUAGGUGCCAUCAAAGAAAACAAGUGCCUCCUGCUGAGUUUUUUUAUCAUGCUGUUAAUUGUAUUUCUGUUGGAGCUCACCGUCGUGAUUCUCUUCUUCGUCUACACUGACAAGAUUGACAAGUAUGCUCAGCGGGAUCUGAAGAAAGGGCUUCAUUUGUAUGGGACAGAUGGAAAUAUUGGCCUAACUAAUGCAUGGAGCAUCAUUCAAACAGAUUUCAGAUGCUGUGGAGUCUCCAACUAUACUGACUGGUUUGAAGUGUACAACACAACCCGGGUGCCAGACUCCUGCUGCUUGGAGUUCAGCGAGAACUGUGGGCUCCAUUCCCCGGGGACGUGGUGGAAAGCGCCUUGCUAUGAAACAGUGAAAAUAUGGCUCCAGGAGAACUUACUAGCAGUGGGAAUCUUUGGAUUAUGCACAGCUCUGGUGCAGCAAUACAGAUAAGGACAAAAGGCAGACAGAAACUAGGAACAGAACAAGGACAUGGGCCGGCAGGAAAGCAGUAUGUGAUGUGUCUUCCUGUGUGUGAAUGGGAACAAACAAAAACAGUAUUCUCGGACUCACCUUUGCAAUGACCAUGUAUUGUCAGGUAGUCAAGGCAGACACCUACUGUGCAUAGAUACCAUUCCCAAUCUCUCUGCUUCUCCUCCAAAGGACACAGGAGAAAUCUCCUUCAUGCUCAUUCAUCUGACCUGUUUUUUGGGUUUUUUUUUUCCCCUUUGUAAUAUAAACUGUGUAUAAUGCUAUCUUUCUGAAGAUUUUUGUGAAUCACCCCACUUUACUGAAGGAGGAAGAAAAGACAAACUCAGUACUUGAACUGGCCCAGGUAAGAAGCAGCCUUGUCUUUAAACAGAAGAAAACCUCCAGAGAACAAUGGUUCCUUUUCAAUGGCCUAUGGCAAGACUAAGGAGGUUGCUUACGGGAGGCUGAUCUGCAAACUGAUGUUGUUAGGAAAAGAUUGCACUGAGGAAACCUCUGUGAAAGCUGCCAGGUUGCCUUCUAGCAUAUCACAGUCUGGAAGAGAGGGUGUAGAAAAUGAGUAUUCUUCAGCAUUCAAAGAAGGUACAGAGUAGCUAGCACUGAAUGCAAUUGAAAUAUUACUCCAGCUCGCACACAGGUAGAAUGUCAAGAGCAAGCUGCCCUGCCUCUAAGUGUUUCAAGAUGAUUUUGUAGCCAGGAGAGGAUCAUCUUCAGAAAUAUGUUAAUCAUCUCAUGUGCUGCAAAGUCAGGCUUUUAAUCAGAAUCUGUGCAGUGACAUCUGGCUGCUAAGGGAAGUAAUAUUGGACAUUGUCUCACUUACUAAUUGCCAGUGGCAUUAUAGAUUGUUGGCUGUAUAUGCAAUAUAUAUUCAUAUACACCUACUGUUCUAAAAGGAGGUGAAAUACCUAGCAUCUAACCUCAGAAAGAGGGAACCUUUCUAUCCCAUUUUACAUUCCAACUGAAAUAACUGAGUAUUAUUUCUUGUAGGAGGCACUAUCACUUAUAUCUCUGGGAAACAAGUAAUUACCUUCAGCUGUAUCUUCAUUUCAGUAAACAACUUGUGAGUGGGCUCUCUGUCAUUCUACUUUUUUUUCCAUUCCUGUUUCAAGUUAAUCUGCCAAAAAGUAUCACUCAUUUCCACACCUGAAGAUCAUACAACGCUGUCAGCUGUUCCUUCCCUGAAUGUCACCAUUUCAUUAAUUUACUCCAGGAUACCAUCAUCUGCAGGGAUGAUAGAGUUUGGCUUGCUGAGGAUAAAUCUUUUGCACAUUGCUCAUCUUUCCUAGAGUUAUUAAGACUUCAGAUAUUUUUAUGCUUAGAAUUUUUUUUAGCUGCUUCCUUACAACAGCCAAGGCACAUCAGUCUUUGUUGGAAGCGGAGUCACCUCUCAUUUUUGCCUUUCGUACCCAUCUCCCUCCUUUUAGCUUCAACCGCUGUUGACUAGAAUAUCUCCCACAUUUUGUGGGAUUUGCAGAAAUCAAAGUUGUAACUUUCCUUUGCCAAAAAACAGCCAGCGGUUGCCUGAUUUCUUCCCCCUGCAUUGGUAACUGAAGUAAUUUUAGUAGUACCCUUCUGUGGGAACCAUGGCUAUGAGGUUAAGAAUCAGAUGCUUAUCAUUCAAACAAAUUGCAGAGAAUUUCCCACCAGCAGGCAGCCCCAGAAAAUGCACGUGGGGUAAGGAGUGGCAGAAGCAUCCUGGGGAAAGCGGACAGCAGGGAACAGGCUAACGCAGCGAUCCACCCGGCCCGUUCCCCAUAGCCAGCUUGCCCGGGGCCUCUCUGCUACUGCCAGGGGAGGGGCUAGACAGCCCAGUGCCCAAUGCAGUCAGUGCUACUGCGACAGACUAGAAGCAUGCAUCAAGUUCAGGCACACCGCAGCAGGUCUCAGCUACAAGUGACACUUUGCGUACCUUGAUUUAAAGGCAAUUUCCGACAGGAACGCUGGACUCUUCCAACCAAGAUACAGCAAUCUCCCAAACACCAGUAAGUAAUCCUUUUCUGCACCUGCACCAUUGGACAAAUACUACUCUCACUGCUUAUUUUUUUUCUCCUCAUUGAUUUCCUGCAGUCUUCUCACCCUGAGGCCCAAACUACCCCAUGUUUUUUGGGGAUGUGCUUAGGACAGUCUGCUCUGUGAAACUGCAAGUACCUUUCAAAAUCCUAUGCCUACCUUUGCGAAGCAACGUCUGUAGCAUCGGGCACUCACUUGUGCAGGCUGAGUUGAAAGUAAUACAUUACUUGUGUGUAUUUUGUGUGGCUUCCCAAUCACUCACUAUUACGGCAACCUCAUCACCACUAAUGGAUUUUAUUGCCAUACCAACAAGCCACAAAUGUUAACAGACCUCAGUCCAAGACAGAGGUUUAACUGAGUGAGUAGCCCAAGAAUACAGAGGACACCUCUGCCUUGAACAAGAGACUUACUCUUGGUGUUGUAAUCACCAAGGUCUCACGCUCCACUUACUGAGCUGAGACAGACCUGCAAACAGUCUGGUUCUUUGAGAGCUGGAGAGGUGGUAUAAGUAAGUUUUUUCCUCCCUCCCUCCAUGCUUUUCUCUUCUUACCUGCAUAGAAGCAAUUCCAAGUAGAUGUACCAUUAGUGGAAGUUCUUGCCAUGGUUUAUUAUAAUAGUUGUACUCACAGGUGCUCCUGCUGACAGCUCUGAGUUUCCACCACUGAAAAGCAGCAUAACAGAGUGAUGAACACAUUAAUAAAACAUUGAUUUUUUUUUUAAAGAAAGAUAAAAGAUAGACAAGGCUAUUUGUAGCAGUCCCUGCCAUUAAAAAUUAACACAGCAAGAGCAGUCCUGAUGGCUCAGUUGAUGAGAGCAAACCGUUGUGCAGUCGCGCUCCCACAGAGGGCACCUCUCAUCAGUUUACCUGCGGGUGGUGUAGGGAGAUGAGAGACCAUAACCCUCAUCCUGCGAGUCUCCUAAUAAUGCGUGCUGAGCUCUUAGAGAAGACGACUAGACUUCAGCAAAACCUACAGAAGAAACAAAAUGAGAAGCAGUAGAAAGACUGAAGACAAGUCACCCUUUCUGGUUCCCUCUAAUCAUUUGCCAUGGUUUAGGCAUCUUUACAAGAUAAACUGCCUUGGUUUUCAAAGAGAAGAUAUAGGCAGUAUGGAUAAUACUCUACUUGUAAAUCCCAGUCACUGCAACAGCAACAUUCAGCAGUAACUCGGGAGGGGGAGCCAAACUCCCUCUUGCAUUGCAAAAACACUACUCUUACACUGCCAACAAAGAUGUUACUUACUGAUAGCCUGAACUGGACUAUUUUUCUAUAUUUGAUGUUAUUAAGUCUCUUCACAUAGGCCACCAAACAGAUGAUAUGGUGCUUAAAGCAUUACCAACACAACCCAGUUUCAAACCUCUGCCCAUACUGCAUACAGCAAUACACAAGCAAGCCUCAGAUUUAUCAUAUUUUGUUUUUUAAAAAGCUGCAGCCUUUCUUCAUCAACAAAGUCUGAAUAUUUUGUGAUGUGUGUCACAGUAACAUUUUUUUUAAAAGUUACAUAGUAUGCAGAAACUUCAGAGUGAACUGGUUGGUUAUGAUUACCCUGUAGUACAUAAUGCACCCUUUUACAAGGCUGCUUGUAUUGUAGAUAUGUAGAGCAACACAGAAGUCAUUCCAAUUGCUUCUAUUAGCGUUUUUCACUUUUAGUAAGGUCUUUUAUAUUAUUUUCUCAUCUUAUUUUUGAACAUGGAGGAGGACUCAAUACAUUCAAAUUGAAGACAGACUCGAAGGCAAAAAAAAGUCAGAGAUUGAAGCCAAGCACUCCUAAUUUAUGCUCAUUAUGCUUUCUGCUUAAUAACAAGGUGUGAAGGAAUAGGGCAUACGGCUGGACCUACUGAAUUCAGCAAGACCAAGAGUUGGCUUUUAGGUUCAGUCUGAUAUACUUUUGGCUCUUCUGUCUUUCCAUCUCCACAACUGUAAGAAUAUAUAUAAAUAUAUAUAAUAGAAUGUGUUUUAUUUUCUUGUACAGUAACUGUCAGUAGCAGCCAAAUCUUAUUGCUUGUUUGAUAGAAUUAUUUAGCUCUACAUCUUAUAGCACACAAUCAAUGAAAUUCACUUCGGUUUCUGUUUUAUGAAUACUUAUUUACUCCUUCCCCUCAAAUCCAACCUUCUAAAGGUUUUUUUUCUUCCAUUUAAUGAUUACCAUUUGAAUGCAGCGUUGUAUGAUUUAUAAUACGGAGAGGAAGAAACUGCACAGAAGCUAUAUAUUUUAUCUAGCAUCAGCAAUAUGGCUGCUAUGCAAAUCCAUCCCACCCCUCACUUCUCACAAGCUAAUUAAAAACUGUUUGGUUACAUCUCUCAGUGCAUGUGGCUCUAAGCUGCCUCUUCCCCCAUUCAUAGAUAGGACAGGAGGUUGUCAGUAUGGAAAAAGUUAAAAGCCAUUCACAUACCUGAUGAUAGCUUCAUUGUUGUGCUGUAAGUGUGGCAUUUAUUUUAAAACCAGACUUACUUAACUGGUUUUACCUUGUCCACAUUAACGUUGUCCACAAGGAUUCACGCUAAGUGUGAAUGAUCUUCAUAGAUACUGCUUUAGACAAUUCACAGUAAGAAAACAAGUCAGGACUUACCAUGGGAAAUUUUGUUUGGAGCUCCUUUGUGAAUUCUCUUAGAUUGUCACCUGUAUCUUAUCACAGCGGACAGGUCUCCUCUGUUCCUUGGAUUUUGUCACUGCAACAAUAAUGAUACAUUUUUGUGCAUUCAUAUAAAGAACAAAAUUUAAAAUAUACAUUUUAUUUUUUAAAAGUUAUUAAAUAUUCUUUAAAGUUUACAACAGAAUGUCUUUUGUAUUCUUUUUAAUGAACAUAUUCACACUGCAAGCUAUACAGUGAGUAUAUACAUACCCAAAGAUGUGUGUGCAUGUGCACACACAGAGUGUAUGCAAUAAAAAAUAUAUAGCAUACUUCCCUUUUGUCAUUUCUCAUUACAUAAAUUUGAUUUGGUCUGUCCUUGCUUAUGGAUUUUUUUUUUCCAAGUGGCUCACCUGUUCCCAGGUAAAUUUAUACUCCUUUCUGUUUCCUGUUUAAGGGCAAGCUGAAAGUAUGCAAGAGGCAAUAUAGGUAGUAUUUCAGAAAAUACUGGGGGCUCCAGGUUUACUGUUGAUGUAACAAAUAGCAUGUAGACACAAAACCCAUUAUUUUCUAUUUUGAACUUGUCUAUGUUACUGAUAUUUUUGAAACAAAAGGUUUUCUUUUCUUCUGAGGAGGUGAUUGCUUAGAUUCAGAUAUUAACUAGGAAAACUCAGCAAAGUCACAGCAGCCCCUCUGCCGAAAUGGCCCAUUAGGAACAUCGGUACCAGCUCCAAAGGAGGUCUGGUUAUACUGGGCAGCUUGUGUGAAGUCGUAUACAACACUUUGCCUUUUCCAGUACAAUUUAUUGCACCCUCUAGUUCAAAAGGCUAUUCCAGUUUUGCUGGUGAAAUUGCCUCUACAUUUGGUGUAUUCCAACACAGGAGUACUAUUAAAAGUUUAAGGGCAGAAAUGGCCUGAAAGUGGAAGGAACCAGAUGUUUUAGAGGUUGUUGCAGGAAACUUCACAAAGGAUAAUCCAAUCCUUGGUGGAAGUUUCUUCCAACUCCCGCAAGUCAGUGGCAGGUUUGCAUUUCUUGAAUUUUCUUCAUCCUGUUAAGUGUACCACUAGAUGGUCUCAUUAACCACAUCUGUCUUUCAUUCUUCUCUGAAUUCCUUAAAGCUUUUGGCUUCAAUGUUAUCUUCUAGCAGUGAAUUUCACAAUUCCAUCAUGCCAUAUACAUUUUUUUUAAAAGAAACUUCUGAUAUGUAUUUUAAACACGUUGCCUUUCAAUUUCAUUAAUUCACUGUCACUUCUAUACUUCAGAAAUGCUAACUUAAUGGAAAUUUAUGGGCACAGAGCAACUCGAUUACCUUUACAGCCUAAUUUGUCUUCCCAAUAAAGCUUAAACCUGAGUAA